rfam:Vigna angularis cultivar Jingnong 6 scaffold768_3, whole genome shotgun sequence.
UUUUUUCACGUUUUUAUCCCAUUAGAACUUUGUCGUUAAGCGUGCUUGGGCAAGAGUAGUAUUAGGAUGGGUGACCUCCUGGGAAGUCCUCGU